rnacentral:tRNA from 1 species
GGGCUCAUCGUCCAAUAGGAGGACGUCAGUUCCGCAAGCUGAAGAUCCGGGUGCAACUCCCGGUGGGUCCA